AACCAAACCAAAACCGCAUGUGUCCCAUGCAUAAGGAAGCAACAAACCGUCAACCCACAAUCAAAGGCACUUUCUUCUCCACGACUUCCUAAAUUUCAGUUUCCUCAUUUCGCUCCGCCAAAGCAACGCGACGCAAACCUCAUCCUCUGCAAUGUCUUCCAUCCGUUCGAAUCGAGCGCUGAAAUCUGCGGCACCAUUCCCCCACCACGACACAUGGAGGUCGUCUAUCGGUCAACAACAAGCGGUACAUCGAGGGGAAGCACCGCCGCCGUGGACACCCGCCUCCUCCUCGUGCUCCUCGCCACGCGCGACGGUCGCGAAAAAUUGAGACGAUUCCUUCAAAGACAAGCAAAUAUAAGGUGGUGAAAGUCUCUGCUACUUUACAAGGUCAUAACAGCGCAGCUACUCAGUACUGCUCCAUCUCUUGCUUUUUUACUGCCUCUUGUUUUGUCUCAUCUGAUCCCUUCCUUGCAACAUGCUAGCCCAAGGCUUACACAGACCUGUUUUGACAAGAGCCGAGCAGCGAUGCUUCCAUUUCGGACCACGACCUAGCUAAAGGCUAAUGGUUCCAAAUGUCUGAAGUACCGAAGACAGGGCUAACUCCUCGUUUUAUGUCAUGUCAAAAAAAUCGUGUAUGAUUGCAACAAUAUUGGCAAAAUAUC
rnacentral:misc_RNA from 1 species